rfam:Stachybotrys chartarum IBT 40288 unplaced genomic scaffold scaffold1042, whole genome shotgun sequence.
GCUCGGAUAGCUCAGCGGUAGAGCGGCAGAUUGCAGCUGAGGUGCGACAGCACCAACAAUCAGUCAUCUGAUGGUCCCUGGUUCAAUCCCGGGUUCGAGCU